CAAUAAUAAAAAAAUGAAAAAAAAAAAGAAAAAGAAAAAGAAAAAGAAAAAAAGGCGGAAGACAGAAACGACAUCCCGAUAUUGAAAGGAAGCGCCUACUUGCAGUCACUUGUU
rnacentral:rRNA from 1 species